UUUCAUCAUUUAUUAAUAGGCUAAUAGUAUUCACUUCAUAUAUAGCAACUGUAACAUAUAUUUACUAUACAGGAAUAACAGGUAGACCUCAUUUUACUUCCAGAAAACAAAAUGGAGGAUGUUAUUAUUGAAGAAGUCACAAAAAGCUAAUACAAAUUGUACAAGAUAUUGGCCCUGAGGUUAGUGAAAGUCCAUUAUACUGAAACAUAAUGGAGAGAAUAGUGAACUAAAUGAGGGUUUUGAUAAAGGGGUAAAAGAGUCAGAUUUCAUAACUGACGACGAAAAAAUGGUACAUCAUGGGAAAGAUGCAAGUCAAACUCCCGAGGAAGCCGCAGAAGAAGAAGUGAUAUUAUCUAAGUUACGUGAGGUGGUGAGAAAGAGUACCCAUUCUGAUCCCAUGCAGAGACCAACAGCUGAACAAUUACUGGAAAUACUAAAGCGCUGAUUAUUUUUACUUUAUAGUUUUUCAAUCUGAUUAAAACACAUAUCCUAUUUCGUUUCGUUUUUAUACACAACAUUUUGUUUUACUUGUCUUUACUACACUAAGAUCUGGAAGAGUUGUUAUAUAACCUGCGUUCUGGUUGAUGUGAGGGAUUAGCCAAUGAAACGAUCUGUUGAGCCAGUUCUUGGCGUGUGGUGCUCGGAACUGUGGGUAUCCCACUAGAAACAUCAACGCUGAUUGGUUAAUCUAAUGUCUGGCGUCAUAGGAUCAAAAGCCGCUCGAAUGACCCUGACGCGACCUUCCACUACAACUGAUCAGAUCUGCCUGUAUUGGAGGGCAUCAAAAGUAUAAAAAAGCCGAAUCGAAAUAUAGAUCUGUACUUUAAUCAGAUUGAUAGUUUUUGUACAAUAAUUCAACUUUAAAUAUCCGGGUAUAACUCUUCAUUUUAGGAUUUUUGGACCAGUUCUUUGUCCCCAUGUGCUACUCAUCUUGUCGUUUUUCUUGUUGGGGGCGACAUCCUUUUAAAAAAGUCUAUUCAAGUACGAUCGACAUGAAACUUGACAUACUUGUACCUCGGGCAAUUGUGCAUCAAUCAAUGACUUCACGUUCACGAAUCCAAGAUCUCUGUGAUGACGCAAUGCUCCGUUCCCGGUCCAUGUAGUACUUUCAUACUUGUGCUCCUUUUUGUUGAAUUUGUAUUUUGUAAAAUAUUUCAUCUUCAUAUAUCAGGGUACCAUUCUCCAUUUUUGGGAUUUUGCUUUGUUACUGGAGUUUCUUCACUGGAUUCUGUAAUUUGGCCCUCUGUUCUUAGAAUCGAUUAUGUUUGAUAAUUUUUAUGACCAAAGGCACCAUGGCUCUCAGCAAGAUAAUACAUGGAUUUGGUUGUGUUCAAUAUAUUCAAAUAACUCAUAACAUCGUGGAGAACAAACGUACUGGGACCGCUGAGAGUCAGACUUAAGUACUUUUGUAUUAUAAAGAUUGUUGUUACCAUGUAAUUAAACACUUCUGACGUAUAGAAUAAAUCUUGAUGGCACACUUAUUGUUAUUAUAUUUAUUCUGAAAUGCUGGGCCUUUGAAGGGAUAUAAAACUGUCGAUUGUAUUGUUUAUUUCGAUA